rnacentral:rRNA from 1 species
UACGGGGGGGGCAAGCGUUGUUCGGAAUUACUGGGCGUAAAGGGUUCGUAGGUGGCUCGCUAAGUCAGACGUGAAAUCCCUCAGCUUAACUGGGGAACUGCGUCUGAGACUGGCGAGCUCGAGUGCAGGAGAGGAACGCGGAAUUCCAGGUGUAGCGGUGAAAUGCGUAGAUAUCUGGAGGAACACCGGUGGCGAAGGCGGCAUCCUGGACCAACACUGACGCUGAGGAGCGAAAGCCAGGGGAGCAAACGGG